rnacentral:rRNA from 1 species
UACGGAGGGGGCAAGCGUUGUUCGGAUUUACUGGGCGUAAAGGGUGUGUAGGCGGCUGCGCAAGUCUGGUGUGAAAUCUCCGACGCUUAACGUGGAGAGGUCACUGGAAACUGCGUAGCUCGAGUAUGGUAGAGGCAAGCGGAAUUCCUGGUGUAGCGGUGGAAUGUGUAGAUAUCAGGAAGAACACCGGUGGCGAAGGCGGCUUGCUGGGCCAUCACUGACGCUGAGACACGAAAGCGUGGGGAGCAAACGGG